CCAGCAGCUGCGGUAAUUCCAGCUCCAAUAGCGUAUAUUAAAGUUGUUGCAGUUAAAAAGCUCGUAGUUGAACGUCUGGUCAAGCGUGACCUUGGCUCCGGUCGAGGCAGGCAUGGCCAUCCGUCAGAAAACCAGGGAGGAGCUUAAUUGAUCGCCCUGGGGAUCUGACACUUUACUUUGAAAAAAUUAGAGUGUUCAAGGCAGGCUAUUGCCCUGAAUACACAAGCAUGGAAUAAUAGAAUAGGACUGGGUCCAUUUUGUUGGUUAUUGGACGCAGUAAUGAUUAAUAGGGACAGUUGGGGGCAUUAGUAUUUAAUUGUCAGAGGUGAAAUUCUUGGAUUUAUUAAAGACUGACUUAUGCGAAAGCAUUUGCCAAGGAUGUUUUCAUUAAUCAAGAACGAAAGU
rnacentral:rRNA from 1 species